rfam:Jatropha curcas cultivar GZQX0401 scaffold765_14, whole genome shotgun sequence.
AAGCUGUGAUGUGGGUACUUUCUCAAUAAGUCCUUGAAUCUCUCCCAAGCUUCAUACAAACUCUCUUGAUCAUGGUGGACAAAGGUCAUUAUCUCGUUUCACAGUUU